GCGGGGGUAGCCAAGCCUGGCAUGGCGAAGGAUAAGUUUGGGCAAGACCUGAACUCCUUAGUGCUAAUCCUUUGUUCGCAAGGACUCGUGGGUUCGAAUCCCACCCCCCGCG
rnacentral:tRNA from 1 species